CAAUAGCGUAUAUUUAAGUUGUUGCAGUUAAAAAGCUCGUAGUUGGAUUUCGGGUGGGACGCAGCGGUCUCGCAUUGCGUUUGUACUGCUGCAGCCCUCCUUCUUGCCGGGGGCGGCCUCUCGGACUUCACUGUCGGGGGGUCAGAAUCGGCGAUGUUACUUUGAGUAAAUUAGAGUGUUCAAAGCAAGCUUACGCUCUGAAUAUAAUAGCAUGGGAUAACACGACAGGACUCUGGCCUAUCGUGUUGGUCUAUAGGACCAGAGUAAUGAUUAAGAGGGACAGUCGGGGGCAUUCGUAUUCCGUUGUCAGAGGUGAAAUUCUUGGAUUUACGGAAGACGAACAUCUGCGAAAGCAUUUGCCAAGGAUGUUUUCAUUGA
rnacentral:rRNA from 1 species